rnacentral:rRNA from 1 species
GGCGAAAGCCCUGAUGCAGCGACGCCGCGGUGAGGGAUGACGGCCUUCGGGUUGUAAACCUCUUUCAGCAGGGAAGAAGCGAAAGUGACGGUACCUGCAGAAGAAGCGCCGGCUAACUACGUGCCAGCAGCCGCGGUAAUACGUAGGGCGCAAGCGUUGUCCGGAAUUAUUGGGCGUAAAGAGCUCGUAGGCGGCUUGUCACGUCGGAUGUGAAAGCCCGAGGCUUAACCUCGGGUCUGCAUUCGAUACGGGCUAGCUAGAGUGUGGUAGGGGAGAUCGGAAUUCCUGGUGUAGCGGUGAAAUGCGCAGAUAUCAGGAGGAACACCGGUGGCGAAGGCGGAUCUCUGGGCCAUUACUGACGCUGAGGAGCGAAAGCGUGGGGAGCGAACAGGAUUAGAUACCCUGGUAGUCCACGCCGUAAACGUUGGGAACUAGGUGUUGGCGACAUUCCACGUCGUCGGUGCCGCAGCUAACGCAUUAAGUUCCCCGCCUGGGGAGUACGGCCGCAAGGCUAAAACUCAAAGGAAUUGACGGGGGCCCGCACAAGCAGCGGAGCAUGUGGCUUAAUUCGACGCAACGC